rnacentral:rRNA from 1 species
ACAGGGAUUGCCCUAGUAACGGCGAGUGAAGCGGCAACAGCUCAAAUUUGAAAUCUGGCGUCUUUGGCGUCCGAGUUGUAAUUUGCAGAGGGCGCUUUGGCAUUGGCAGCGGUCCAAGUUCCUUGGAACAGGACGUCACAGAGGGUGAGAAUCCCGUACGUGGUCGCUAGCCUUUACCGUGUAAAGCCCCUUCGACGAGUCGAGUUGUUUGGGAAUGCAGCUCUAAAUGGGAGGUAAAUUUCUUCUAAAGCUAAAUACUGGCCAGAGACCGAUAGCGCACAAGUAGAGUGAUCGAAAGAUGAAAAGCACUUUGGAAAGAGAGUUAAAAAGCACGUGAAAUUGUUGAAAGGGAAGCGCUUGCAGCCAGACUUGCCUGUAGUUGCUCAUCCGGGUUUUUACCCGGUGCACUCUUCUGCGGGCAGGCCAGCAUCAGUUUGGGCGGUUGGAUAAAGGUCUCUGUCAUGUACCUCUCUUCGGGGAGAACUUAUAGGGGAGACGACAUGCAACCAGCCUGGACUGAGGUCCGCGCAUCUGCUAGGAUGCUGGCGUAAUGGCUGUAAGCGGCCCGUCUUGAAACACGGACCAAGGAGUCUAACAUCUAUGCGAGUGUUUGGGUGUCAAGCCCGAACGCGUAAUGAAAGUGAACGGAGGUGGGAACCCCUUGGGGUGCACCAUCGACCGAUCCUGAUGUCUUCGGAUGGAUUUGAGUAAGAGCAUAGCUGUUGGGACCCGAAAGAUGGUGAACUAUGCUUGAAUAGGGUGAAGCCAGAGGAAACUCUGGUGGAGGCUCGCAGCGGUUCUGACGUGCAAAUCGAUCGUCAAAUUUGGGCAUAGGGGCGAAAGACUAAUCGAACUAUCUAGUAGCUGGUUCCUGCCGAAGUUUCCCUCAGGAUAGCAGUAACGUUUUCAGUUUUAUGAGGUAAAGCGAAUGAUUAGAGGCCUGGGGGUUGAAACAACCUU